UGGUUCUCGCAUCGAUGAAGAACGCAGCGAAACGCGAUAGGUAAUGUGAAUUGCAGAAUCUAGUGAAUCAUCGAAUCUUUGAACGCACAUUGCGCCUUUUGGUAUUCCGAGAGGCAUGUCUGUCUGAGCGUCAGUGACAACCCUCCAAGCUCCGGCUUGCUGCUGGGCGUCGGGCUCCUCCCCGCCUGAAUGUCGCUGGGGCACCCGACCGUCGCGCGUCGGGAAGUGAUAAUUGCUCAUUCUUCCCAUGCUGGCGGCCGCGGUAGCUCCCGAUGCCGAAACAUAUGGUCCCUGGACCAGAGUUUUGACCUCAGAUCAGACAAGGAUACCCGCUGA
rnacentral:misc_RNA from 1 species